GGAAGGAUCUCUUCUGGAGAUCACCUCUUUUGGUGUUUUGUGGUGAGCUCAGCCGAAGGGUUUAGAGGUCAGAGUUUCCCUCCACAGCAUUCUUCUCUUGACAAAUGAUCUUUGCAGCAAGUAGACAGAUCACUGCAGUGAAUCUUCAUCUAGCAACCUUCCACUUAGUUGAGAAGUGACUAGUUGAAUUAAAAUAAUGCCUUCUGAAGCUAUUUACUCCUGGAAACCUACAGCAGACUGCUUGACUUAUUGGCAGCUUGCUGUCAUCCAUAGAUGUAAAAGAUGUAGAAAUUUGCCAACCAGAUAUAAAUUGCAAACUAAGCCUGAAAGAAUAUCUGAAGAAACGGUGAGAAGAAAUUUUUCAUCUCUGAAAUAUUUUUAAUCAAUAUUUUCACUGGACUCUUUGUUUCAGACAGAAAUUCAAGAAGAAAUAGAUAAACCAACAAGUCUACCCAAUCAGCAGUAUCUAACUUGGGUUGCAAUUACAUUAUACAGCUACUUUUGGAAGAAGCCUAAAUCUAAGUACCUGAAAGAAGCAUGAAAUAGCACAGUUUUUCCUCCAUCACUUCAUUCUCAAAACUGAAUCAGAUAAUGAUUCCACCCACAAUAAUAGAAACUGGGGGAAGAAAAAAUGAAAGGAAAAAAAAAAAAAAAGAGGGAAAGAAAGAAAAAAGGGGAAUGGGGAGAAGAGAAAAAAAAACCAAAGCACCCAAACCAAUUCACUAGGGGGAGGAAAAACUAUCUGUCCCUCCAAGUGACUUAACAAGAAUGGAAGGCAGAGACUUUACUGAGGGUCUGUGAUUACAAAAUGUUAUUUCUUCUUAUCAUACAUCAGAACACAUCUGUAGAAAUUUUCUGGCUGAGAUGCCAGAGAUGUUUUGGUUCCCUUUAUCAUCAUGCAUUGAUUAUUUCUUGUUUGUUCAAGGCUUGUUUAUGGUUUUACAUUUUGUUUCUUCAGUGACUACUUUAUAUAUUCACUGGUAGGUACUUAGUUACUUAGCAGAACAUUAUAAGUGUCUAGCAAUUGUACUCAAAGGAAGCUUUGAGAGUUAUUAAGAAUAAAAAUAUUAGUGAGUAAAAAGUGUUUUAACUCCAGAGUGUUGCUGCAAUUUCUUGGCACCCUCUACUUAAGAAGCAUCUUAAGAAACAUCCCAAGAAGUUACCUAAGAGUUACAAAUUUUCAUCUAUGUGCACUACAAAUUUAGUAGUGUAAAUGUGUAAAUAUACUGAUCCUAUAUGCAA